rnacentral:lncRNA from 1 species
ACAUUACUUAUACAUACAUUACUUAUAUACACAUAUAUAUAUAUAUAUAUAUAUAUAUAUAUAUAUAUAGGAUAAAUUAAAAGUGUAUAUAUAUAUAUGUACAUACAUGUAUAAAAUAUUGCAUGAUGAUUUUUUAAAAAAAUAUUAUAAAUUUUUAUGUCAAAAACUUUAAAAAAAAAAAAAAAAAUGUUUUUCAGAUUAUGCAUAUUUAUACAAAUAUACAUACAUACAUACAUAUAUAUAUAUACACACGCUGCCUCGUUUACAGCAUGAUCUAUAAUUUUUUAAAAAUUGUUUUAAAUUAUAAAAUUUGUUUUAAAAGAAUUGAUUUCUAAUAAAAUUCAAUUUUUUAGUACCCAUCCAAUAUAUAUUUGUAUAUAUAUAUAUAUAUGUAUAUGCAUACGUAGUACCUUAAGUAAAUAACUGCUAUUUUUUUUUUUUUUUUUUUUUGUUUUUUUUAUAUUAAUUUAAUUUUUUGUCAUUUUUCUUUUAAUCACAUUAUUUGUGACAUUUUUCUUUUAAACACUUUAUCUGUGACACUUAAUUUUUUAACAUUUUAUUUUUGGGCAUUUUGUUGUAUAUUUUUUAUAAUUUUAAUAUACAUUUUACUAUGACGUUCAAUAAAUUUGUUUACGUUAGUUUAUUCUUGUUUUUGCAAGUAUUUUUAUCUAAUUAUAUAUUAUAUGAUUUUUUAAACAACAUUUUAAGUAAAACUAAUUAUAUAACAUCAUGGAGGAAUAUAAAAAGUAUAAACAGUAAUUACUUAAAAGAAUUAGAACAAUUCGAAAAUAAUAAUAUUUUUAAAGAAGAUGUUUUUAAACACUAUUUUUUUUUACAAACGAAUGAAAAUAAUAAUGUGAUAUUAGUAAAAUUAUAUAAACAAGAUAUACCUUCAAAAAAAAUAUCAACGUAUUAUGGACAAAUAUCAGUAGGAGAAAAUAAAGGAUUACCCAGCGUGUUGGAAGUAGAUUACUUGAGUGGAAAAAUAAAAGGAUUUGACGGUACACACAAACAUACACAUAUACAUAUAUAUUUAUGUACCUGUUUUGGGCAUUUAUAUUCGUCACGGUUUUUAUGUUUUAUUAUAUGUUGUCAUAAUUUUUUUAUAUUUCUUUUAUGUAUGUUAAUGAU